rnacentral:rRNA from 1 species
CGGCAGCACAGUGGUAGCAAUACCAUGGGUGGCGAGUGGCGGACGGGUGAGUAAUGCAUCGGGACCUACCUGAACGUGGGGGAUAACGUAGGGAAACUUACGCUAAUACCGCAUACGUCCUACGGGAGAAAGCGGGGGAUCUUCGGACCUCGCGCGGUCAGACGGACCGAUGUUCGAUUAGCUAGUUGGUAGGGUAAUGGCCUACCAAGGCGACGAUCGAUAGCUGGUCUGAGAGGAUGAUCAGCCACACUGGAACUGAGACACGGUCCAGACUCCUACGGGAGGCAGCAGUGGGGAAUAUUGGACAAUGGGCGCAAGCCUGAUCCAGCAAUGCCGCGUGUGUGAAGAAGGCCUUCGGGUUGUAAAGCACUUUUAUCGGGAGCGAAAUACUACUGGCUAAUAACCGGUGGGGCUGACGGUACCCGAGGAAUAAGCACCGGCUAACUUCGUGCCAGCAGCCGCGGUAAUACGAAGGGUGCAAGCGUUAAUCGGAAUUACUGGGCGUAAAGGGUGCGUAGGCGGUUUGUUAAGUCUGUCGUGAAAUCCCCGGGCUCAACCUGGGAAUGGCGAUGGAUACUGGCAAGCUAGAGUGUGUCAGAGGAUGGUGGAAUUUCCGGUGUAGCGGUGAAAUGCGUAGAGAUCGGAAGGAACAUCAGUGGCGAAGGCGGCCAUCUGGGACAACACUGACGCUGA